GACGACGCUGGCGGCAUGCCUAACACAUGCAAGUCGAACGGACUUUUAGUGAAUUAACCUUCGGGUUAUGAAGCUUUAAAGUUAGUGGCGGACGGGUGAGUAACGCGUGGAUAACCUACCCAUAGGUUGGGGACAACUCCGGGAAACCGGUGCUAAUACCGAAUAAUAUUUUCGAAACGCAUGUUUUGAAAAUCAAAGGGGGCCUCUCAUAGAAGCUUCUGCCAAUGGAUGGAUCCGCGUCUGAUUAGCUAGUUGGUGGGGUAAUGGCCUACCAAGGCGACGAUCAGUAGCCGGCCUGAGAGGGUGAACGGCCACACUGGGACUGAGACACGGCCCAGACUCCUACGGGAGGCAGCAGUGGGGAAUCUUCCGCAAUGGGCGAAAGCCUGACGGAGCAAUGCCGCGUGAAUGAAGAAGGCCUUCGGGUUGUAAAGUUCUGUUGAGAAGGAAGAAAGAUUUGAGAGCUAAUAUCUCUCAUGUUUGACGGUACUUUUCGAGGAAGCCCCGGCUAACUACGUG
rnacentral:rRNA from 1 species